AAACGCACCUGGCAGGGGAGACACCAUGAUCACGAAGGUGGUUUUCCCAGGGCGAGGCUUAUCCAUUGCACUCCGGAUGUGCUGACCCCUGCGAUUUCCCCAAAUGUGGGAAACUUGACUGCAUAAUUUGUGGUAGUGGGGACUGCGUUUGCGCUCUCCCCUG
ensembl:snRNA U1 U1 spliceosomal RNA